rnacentral:ncRNA from 1 species
AUCAAUUAAACGGGGAGCCUGAGACUUCAGGCUGAGAGGAGGACGCAGGUCCUCGACCCGCAAGACCUGAUCCGGAUAAUGCCGGCGGAGGGAUGAUGCAUCAACACCAAA